AUUGUGGUGGUGAACAUGCACCUGAAUUUCUUAAAUUAGGGUGAAGGAGACGGAGGUGGCAAGAAUAAGGGCUGUCCAGAAUGUCUCCUAUCCGGAGGUGUUGAGAAGAGCGGAAGAAAGGAGUGAAGUUGAAGAAGUAAUGAUAAUAGGACUAGAGACACAAGAUGAUACUCCUUGUCAACAGAGGGAUCCUGGCAUGUUAACAAGGUGGACUUUGUAGCGUUUAUACUUUGGAUAUUAACUUUACAGCGCAAACGGAGAGGAAAUCUAAGAAAAUAGGUAUUGUGUGUGUGGCUGAAUGUUUUUUUGGGAGUUAUUUUGCCGAGGCAUACAAGGAAUCCAGUCGAUUAAUGCUCAAUUCUCACAGGCACUAGAUGUGAUUUGAAUGUGACCGAAGGAGUGGGAUGGUUGUUCGAUUUAUUUAGUAUUAUCCUGGGUCCCCCUCCUUCUCGCAAUGGAUUUAUUUUGUUACACCCGGUACAGUAGGUGGCGGCAAUACACCAAUAGGUGUCGUCUGCCAUAAAACUUUAAAGAAGAUGAAGAAGAUGCCACUUGAACUAGACGACAAUUUUUGUUAGGUAUCCACAAGGAAAUGUCUGUCAGGGGGAUUACUUUGUUUUUUCGAAAUUGUACAACUCUGAAGUUACUUCGUUAAUCCUUUAAGGUCAUAUUUUAAAUACACUAGCUUUAAUACCAUCGGAUAUAUGUGUAUAAUUGAGUUUAGUAGAAGUCAAUUUGGCCAAUGGGAAACGGAUUAUUCAGAGAAUCUUGCGGCUCUUGUAAUUAUUCCCUGCUGUACUGUUAGCUACUAGCUAGUGAUAACGCCUGAUAGUCAGUUAGCUAAAUCGUUGAAGAAAUUUGGGACCGUUGUGAUAGUAACUUGAGGGAGGCUUUUACAACAAGAUAACUUCUUUACUGGACGGAAUACGACGAAAGUACAAGGAUAUAACUACCGUUAAGUUGAAGUUGUUUCGAGCGAAAAUGAUUUUUUUUUACCAUCAGCUAACAUCUAGUAAAUUAGCUAGCUAGUUGACAGGGAUAUCCGUGAAAAUUGGGUAUGGUGUGAAAUAACUUGCUAACGUUACCUACUUUAGAUUUGUUUUAACCAUAUCAUUUAACAUACCAAGCUAACGAUGCGGGAUUCAACAGUGAAUUUCAGUGUUCUCCAUAGAACAUGCAAGUUGGUCGUCCUUCUAUGUUUUUUCCAUAUUUCGGUCACUUUCAUUUUUUACGUGAGGUCGUUAGAUUUUCGUUUUGCAUUUGCGAAGCACGACCAAACUGCAUCAAAGGACACCGCAACUGACGCGUUUGAAACGAACCACUUUUCUGUAGACAACGUGACUACAAUCACCAAAGAACUUGGAAAAUGUCCUGACACAUCGCCACUGCUUGUUGGCCCACUGCGAAUUGAGUUCUCCAACCCAGUCAGCCUGGACGUGGUAAGGAAGGAAAACCCCAAUCUUAAGAAUGGGGGGCGCUUCAAGCCCAAAGACUGCAUGGCCCUCCAGAAGGUGGCCAUCAUCAUCCCUUUCCGCAACCGCGACGAGCACCUCAAGUUCUGGCUCUACUACCUCCACCCCAUCCUUCAGCGCCAGCAGUUGGACUAUGGCGUCUAUGUCAUCAACCAGGACGGUGAUGAGGUCUUUAACCGCGCCAAGCUCCUCAACGUUGGCUACUCGGAGGCCCUGAUGGAGUACGACUACGGCUGCUUUGUGUUCAGUGACGUGGACCUCAUCCCCAUGGAUGACCGCAACACCUACAGGUGCUUCAGCCAGCCCAGGCACCUGUCUGUUUCCAUGGACAAGUUUGGCUUCAGAUUGCCGUACAACCAGUACUUUGGAGGCGUGUCGUCAAUGAGCAAGGAGCAAUUCCUCAAGAUCAACGGCUUCCCCAACAACUACUGGGGCUGGGGAGGGGAGGACGACGACAUUUUCAACAGGCUGAACUCCAAGGGGAUGACCAUCUCACGGCCCAGCGGAGCCGUGGGGAAAUGCAGGAUGAUCCGCCACAACCGGGACGGUGGGAACGAAGACAACCCACAGAGGUUCGACCGCAUCGCCCACACCAAGGAGACCAUGAACAAAGAUGGCAUAAAAACCCUGUCGUACAAAGUGGUGAAAGUGGAGAAGGAUCAAUUAUACACCAAAAUCACUGUGGACGUGGGGAAAAAAAUUACUCGUCAAACCAAUUAAAACCUGAACAGCCUUGACAACCAAUUUGCCACUGUGGUGGAUGCUGUAACCAAAUGUGCCUUGACACUAUAAAUAAUCUUAUGCCCUGGACUUUUUGGACCAUAGAGAAUGACUGAUCUAAUCAGCAAACGAACAUGUUCCCCAAUAUUCCCUUUAUUUUCGGCCUUUGCACAUCCGAUGGUGAAUUGAACUGGGAUUCCAGCGUUUCCAUCAUAGGAUCCUUAAAUCGUUGACGCCAGAAAUGAGAGUUGACAUUCCGUACAUUGACACACUGUCGGGGUCCUAUCAGGCUGAUAUGGCCCCCGCUCUCUCUGUCUGGAGACGGCUGCUGAGACCAAGUCCUUUGUGAGCCAUUUUGUCUUGAGGGGGAGGUUGUGAAAUGUCUUAAUUGAUUGUCCUAUGCAUCGGGAACUCUCAAAUAAUGCGUUUUGUCAUAUGCAUUUCUUUGCAAUACUGUGGAUGUUGUCGUUUGGGUUCAUGUUGGGGUCAUUUUAGUUUUCUGUCACUUCUGGGGAAUUUCUUGCUAAUCCUUUUUAAUACCUCUGCUGAGCAGGGUUUCAACCAAUCCAAUGCCAAGAGGUCAGGCCAAAGAUGGAACUCUGCAAUUCAGAGGUCAUUAAAAACAAAAUCACUUAGGUUUUGUUAAGACAACCAAUCUUAAAGGAUUUUUGUACUUUGAUGUUCCAUCAAGAUUUUGAACUUACCCCAAAGGGCCUAGAAUUCCCUCCAAAAAUAGUUGAAAAGGCCAAAUCCCAUGAUAUUUACAUUAGGCAUUCUAAUUCUCACUGCUAAGGGUCCUUAGUCUAUUGUUGAUAUAGUCCUAAAAUGUUUUGCAUGUCAGCAAUCAAGUUUUCAAGAUGUAUAACUUUCGAAAUACAGCCAGUAUGAUGCAUUUUGCGUCGUUUAGUUUUUAGGUGUGUUUUUGUUGAGUAUUUUGAACUAUGUGAAAAGCUCUCUUGAAAGUGUCUCUGCUGAUGCUCCCUUCCCUGUGAAGACCACCAUUCAAGGUAGCCUGUAAGGAGGCCUCUCCCUAGUUGGAAAAAGAGGCACCUGAAUGUAUUGCCUGGUGGUGUUGUGAUUGUGUGCCCUGAGGUAAAAUGAUACUGCGCUGUUGUCUAUCACGAUUGUCUGGUUUAGUGAUUUUUAUUUUUUAUUUUUUGUCUGAGAUGGGGGGGGGGGGGUUCUACGCUAAAAAUAAUCAUCUUGUAUUCAUUGUAUGUCUGAGAGGGUUAGAAAUCAUUUUUUAAUUUAUUUUUGGCCUCGAUGUAGUAACCAAACCACAGGACGUUGGUGGCACCUUAAUGAGGGAGGACAGGCUCGUUGUAAUUGCUGGAGCGCAAUGGAGGGAAUGGGAUCAAACACUUGAUUUCCAUGUGUUUGAUGCCAUUUCAUUUGCUCCGUUAUGGUUAUCAUGAGCCGUACUCCCCUCCGCAGCCUCAUGCCACCACGGGUCCUUAUCAUUCCUCAUAUACAUUGAAAACUACACAAGAUUGUGCGCUAUGAGGCAUGGCGUUGCACAUGUACAGUUAGUAACUCAAUCUUAUUGAGGAAAAAAGCCAUUGCGAUUUCUGACUGGACACUAGAUAUAACAGAGUUAUUGUCUGUCUAUACUUAGGCUUCCAUGUAUGCCAUUCCUCUUCUGACAGAAUUAAGAAGCAAUCAGCCCUUGAAGAAUCUGUAAAAUGACAGCCAUUUUUGCCUUACCCAAAUAAACUUGAAAAUAUCAAUUUAUUGGUCAACUUUGAAACAUUAGUAGGAGAUAUGGGUGUACAUUAACCGCUAAAGCUAAGUCAGUAAUUCCCUAGCUGUUCCCCAAAAGUGUUUCCCAAGAGGCUGAACUAUAGUUAGCCGUUUCCCAAGAGGCUGAACUAUAGUUAGCCGUUUCCCAAGAGGCUGAACUAUAGUUAGCCGUUUCCCAAGAGGCUGAACUAUAGUUAGCCGUUUCCCAAGAGGCUGAACUAUAGUUAGCCGUUUCCCAAGAGGCUGAACUAUAGUUAGCCGUUUCCCAAGAGGCUGAACUAUAGUUAGCCGUUUCCCAAGAGGCUGAACUAUAGGGUCUUUGGGCUCGGUCAAGAAAGCCACAUCACAGGCCGUUUCAACUAUGGUGAAACGUUGCAAAAAUAAAUCCUUCAUAUAGAAUGAGCACAAUGUACAUAGCAAAUAGAGGUUUGUGUCAGCUCUAUGCAACACAUUUAUAUACUCAAAAUGGGGAGCGUUUGCCACAUUGAAUAAGCCUAAGGAAAGGCCUAGUCACCACAUACCUCCUCACUCUGUCUGGUUGCUAUGUACAGACACUUGAAGACAUGGGAGUAGUCCCAUGAUGUGCAGUCUUGCUCUUUAAGCCUGGCAUGCAGGGCUGCAUAAUGUGCAAUGCAUAGCAUUAUAUACUUCUCUCAAUCCACCUAAAGAUUCAUUUUCAAGGUUGAAAACCAGUGUCUUUUAUAGGUUGGCUGAAGCCAGGUUUGUUUCUCCCAAAGACAAUGGCCUUUGUUGAGAAAGCCAGCAAUAUGUAUGCCACGUGUGAAUUAAGUUUGUGUUACAAUAGUUAGCUGACUAAUCUGUAAGGCUUCUAUCUUUUUACUUUUCAUGUUUUCCAUUAUGAUUCAAUGUGUGCAUCUAUGCUUGUGAUUUCUACAAAUGCAUGUCUUUGUAUGACUUUUGCUGGUUUAACAAUUUCAUUCAAAAAUACAUUUCCUGGUUUGUGAGAAUGUUGGUGAAGAUGAAUCAACUCAUGUUUAGGUUAUUAAAAUCUGUGAUUUAAGUAAAUGUCUUCUCAUUCAUUAACUUGGGUCAGAACACUAAGCAGUGGUUUCCCAGACACAGAUUAAACCUAUUCCUGGAUGUAAGAGUAUUCUUUUUGUACAAGCAUUAGGUCAGCCAGCUAAACUCUUAAGUGUCCUCUCGGUUAAUGUUCAGUGUGGCCACUGGCCAGUAGUCUCAUCUGCACAGUGCAAUGGGUGGAGCGUAUCCAUGGGUUACCGGACGGGACAAGGGUGCAGGAGCAAGCAGAGUAACCCUCUAGACCUUUUUUAAAGGAAAGACAAGCCAACUGCUGGUCUACAUUUACUUAAUGAAGAACAAAAACACCUCUGUCCAGGUUGGCAACAGUGGCAGAUGUCUUUUCCACUAACGUACCCCGUGGACGAUAUGAUACAUGGCUGGCAUCGACUCCCCCAACCUGGGACGGUUGACCUUCGGGCCUUCCUGGACUCUGAGCAGCGGAGGAGAGAUCUGGAUGUCAGUCUGGCUCAGGUCCAAAAUGCCCUGCAGGAACAGAGGGUCAGAAUGCUCCAGAGAAUGGGCCCAGGGAGCCGACAUAAACUACCCCAGAUACUUGUUUUGAAUCUUGGGCAGAUCAAUCGACCAGUAAACCUCCAUCCUAGUCUGUUAUCAGAGAACAUCUACAUCCCACCAUAUGGUGACCUUUACACAAGAGUGGGCAGGCUAGAGAUUGACUCAGAGAUCAUUAGCGCCCAACUGGACCAGGUUCUCUGUUCUAGGGGAAGGUGUCUCUACAGGAAUGGACCCUCACCCCAACAGGACAGCUUGACUCCUUGUCAGAGGGAGGACCAUAGUAUGACCUCUCAGCUUAUUGCUCAAGCAGUGGACAAAGGACAACUUCUGAAAGAGCGAGACAACCUUGAGCGUCUGCUGGAGGAAUCCAGGGCCCAGCAGCAGCUGAUGGAGCAGAAGAGGGAGGCCCAGAUAGCAGCCCUUCACUCCCAGCUGUACCAGGCACGCUCCAGCCUCCAGGAGACCCACAGAGAGACACUGGCCACACAGGCAGAGCUACAUGGCAGCAAGCAGAUAAAUGAGUCCCUGCUACAGGAGGUGGCGUCUCUCAGACGGAGGCCCGGGGCUGCGGAGGAGCGGGCCUCCCUGAUGGAGAGUGACGGACGCCUGCUCAGGGCUCGCAUAGCAGCACUGGAGACUGAGCGGGAGGAGCUGCUUCAACAAGGAGACCUCGCCACAGGGAGACGACGCUCCUCAGCCUUUGGGAGCGCUUGGGAAACGGAUGUGGAAGAUUCCGAAAAGUCGGAGGGGUUGAGGGAGGAGAGUACCGCAUAUGAGAUGGGGGAAGUGGAGGAGGAGGAGAGGGUACAAGGGAAGGAUUUGUCUGUGGACUUAAGACUUAAGAUCCAUGAGGUGCCGCUCUCUAAGCCUGGCCUACAGAUAAAGGAAGAGAACCAGGACGGAGAGAAGGGGCUGGGAUUGGUCGAUCGCUGGAAUCCAUGGCAGCACGAGCCAAUAGAAGCCAAUCAAAUGACGGCGCUGGUCAUAGAGCUGCAGCAGCUGAGAACGGCCUGUGAAGAGACAUCAUCAACACUACCGGUCUCCCCCAAGGACCAGAGGGCCAGAGAGUGGAUGUGAAAGAGCUGCUCUGCUCGAGGACUGUGUGGGGGAGAUGGAUUGGGAGGGGCUGGCUUUCCUGGAGAGAGACUGUGGAGUUCUUCGGGUGGUACCUCCAGGAUCAUUGGCAAGAAGUAACCCACCACAUUCACACUGAUCCUUGACUAUGUAGGCCCACAUUUCCAUAUUCUCCACAAUCAUGUACGCUUUCUUUUACAAAAACACGUCUGUUUGCGUAUGCAAUAAAUUAUGUCUGAAUCAAAACGGCAGGAAGCGAUCCGCUGAGGCCCUGCGUAUUAAAUUGUGGUCUCAAGUACGUCCUCAAGAACUCCUUUCAUGUUUACCUGACAUCAAUCACCCGCAUUGUGAACUGUGUACAACAUUUAGUUUGUCAGUUUAAAAUAAAUAUUGGACUGACUCUAAUACAACUCCACUAUCCCUAGGCCUUUAUGGGUAUACCAGUUGGACAGACAAAUACCCCUCAAGGAUCUCACCCCCUCCUAUCCUUUACUUGUGUUAUGCCUGUACACAAGCUUAGUUGGAAAAAGGCAGGUAUUUUUCAGGCUCCAUUGUAUAGGCUAACCUGUCAAAACAUAUUCCAAAGAUUACACAAUUUACAGUUGGCCUGCAUGCACAUUUUGUCUAAACAGCGAACAAAUAUUUACUGUGGCUGGGUGUGUGGAGGAAUUAGUCACUUCCUUGAAUGGGUCUUGCUCAAUGUUAGACCUAAUGGUCAUUGCAUACUGUGUGGUUUGCUCUUGUGAUUGGUUUGAUACCCCUCCCUCACAGUACAGGAGGUGAUUUCCUGCAUACUUUCAUCAUCUGAGUCUGACUUGCCUGUACAUCACAGCUAGCAAAUGUAAAUUAUGGUGGUGUGCCCUUUUGUGGACAAGUUAUUCAUUUUUUUAUUAAUCAAUGUGACUUCUUAAUCAAUACAGUUAAAUUACUUCUUUAUUUCACAUAAAAUAAGAAUAGAGUAGAUAUUAUCAAUCAAGGACAUUGUCCUUGCUCAUGGGUACAAAAUAUGUAAAAUAAAUGAUCAGCGUAGGUGUUGACUGCUGUGAUUGUUCACACUGGGGUCAAAAUCCCCUUCAACUGCUAAGAUCAAACGACUUGACCCACACGUGCCAGUUCAUCCCCACCACCAUCUCAAAGGGGACAUUUUUUUUCUUCCCCCAGAUCCUUGGCUAUCUCACUCUGGGGUGCCAGCAGCCUGAAUGGCAAGAGGACCAUUACUAUUUAGAACCAGGGGUUGUGUUGAGCGGCGCAACUUUACAAAAUGGAGGAAGACUAGUGACAUCAAACUUUUAAAUUGAAUGACCUGCUGUUCAAGUUAAAAGGUCAUGCCACCUGGAGGUAUAAAGAGGCGUUUGUGACAAUACUGACCUGCACAUUUGGUCUAUUCCUCUUGGUAUGUCCCUCGUAGGAGAGUGACGCUUGCUCACUCCCCCCUUCCCCCCUAAAUUCACCUUGACGAUGUCACCUGACUUGGCAGUUACGAUGCCAAACUCUUUCCCCUUUCGCUGGAACAUACUGGGAGAGAAAAUAAGCAGUGAAUCCACACUUGAGUAGAACCGUGUAACAUAGGUUAGUACAUAAUGGAGCAGGCAUAAACGGUUCAUUCUGGUCAUUUAAAAAAAAUUGACUAGUCUUAGUCGUUUUGACUAAAAUAUUAAGUCUGUCACAUUUUUGUCAUGAAUAAUGAUUUAGUCUAUUGUCAAAAUGACAAAAACAGUCUGCUAUUUUAGUCAAAUAAAUGCCCUUUAAUUUUAGUCAGAUCACAUUUGUUUUGCCUCACUAACCUACAGUAAGCAUGUGCAGAAACAUACAUAGCCUUGUCCUAUCAACAUUUUUCUACAUAACGUCCUGUCACAUGAUUCUCUUCCCAACAACCAAAUUAAGAUUAAAACAAAAUCACCCCUUGACAGGGCUGCAAACUAACAUGUCCCCUGGUGGCAAUGGUCCUGCUAACGUUUUCAGUUGAUGGCAUCAGCCCAUGAUUUGGUUGCAGCAAUUAUUUUCCUGCGACGUCAUGUAAAGUUUUUUUUUAGGACCUUAGAAAGUAAUACACAGUGCUUUAGACUGUGUAAUAGACUACGGACAUGGUAGGCUAUUCAAUAAUUAAGUGGUUUCAUCUAACGUGUCCAAGCAGGAAUGCAUGAUUCAAGAUAUUUUGAUGUGCAACCUAAUAUAGUGAUUGUCAACCCAAAAUUCAUGACAAUCAGGCUAUUGUAUAUUUUACUAUUAAAAUAGGGCUCCAGGAUUUUCUGAAUUUUGUUGCUCAAUACAGAUGAAUUUGCCUACAUUUUUAUCAUAGGCAAAUUUAUCUUGGGUCUAAAUCACCACAUGAGAAAGUGAAAGCAAUCUAGCUAAUGCGUUUUGAGUUGACACUAAAUAUACUGAACAAAAAUAUAAAACGCAACAUGUAAAGUGUUGGUCCCAUGUUUCAUGAGCUGAAAUAAAAUAUCCCAAAAAUGUUCCAUUUGCACAAAAAGCUCAUUUCUCUCAAAUUUUGGGCAUAAAUUUGUUUACGUCCCUGUUAAUGAGCAUUUAUCCUUUGCCAAGAUAAUCCAUCCACCUGACAGGUGUGGCAUAUCAAGAAGCUGAUUAAACAGCAUGAUCAUUACACAGGUGUACCUUGUGCUGGUGACAAAAGGCCACUAGAAUGAGCAGUUUUGUCACAACACAAUGCCACAGAUGUCUCAAGUUUUGAAGGCGUGUACAAUUGGCAUACUGCAGGAAUGUGCACCAGAGCUGUUGCCAGGUAAUUUAAUGUUAAUUGCUCUACCAUAAUCCUCCACCAACGUCGUUUUUAGGGAAUUUGGUCAGUACGUCACAACCCCCAGACCACGUAUAACCACACCAGCCAGGCCCUCCACAUCCGCCUUCUUCACCUGCAGGAUUGUCUGAGACCAGCC
rnacentral:lncRNA from 1 species